rnacentral:rRNA from 1 species
AGUUUGAUCAUGGCUCAGGACGAACGCUAGCGGCAGGCUUAAUACAUGCAAGUCGAACGGUAAGGUCUCUUCGGAGAUACACGAGUGGCGCACGGGUGCGUAACGCGUAUGCAACCUACCUUUAACUGGGAAAUAGCCCCGAGAAAUCGGGAUUAAUGUCCCAUACUAUUCUGAGAAUGCAUAUUCUUAGAAUGAAAGCUCCGGCGGUUAUUGAUGGGCAUGCGUGACAUUAGCUAGUUGGUGAGGUAACGGCUCACCAAGGCUACGAUGUCUAGGGGUCCUGAGAGGGUUAACCCCCACACUGGUACUGAGACACGGACCAGACUCCUACGGGAGGCAGCAGUAAGGAAAAUUGGGCAAUGGACGCAAGUCUGACCCAGUCAUGCCGCGUGAAGGAUGAAUGUCCUAUGGAUUGUAAACUUCUUUUAUGCAGGAAAAACAUCCCGGUCGUGAACCGGGACUGAUGGUACUGUAUGAAUAAGCAUCGGCUAACUCCGUGCCAGCAGCCGCGGUAAUACGGAGGAUGCAAGCGUUAUCCGGAUUCAUUGGGUUUAAAGGGUGCGCAGGCGGAAUGAUAAGUCAGUGGUGAAAUCUCCCGGCUCAACCGGGAAACUGCCAUUGAUACUGCCGUUCUUGAGUACAGUUGAAGUGGGCGGAAUGUGUCAUGUAGCGGUGAAAUGCUUAGAUAUGACACAGAACACCGAUAGCGAAGG